rnacentral:rRNA from 2 species
GAGUGCGGGCCCCUCGGGGCCCAACCUCCCACCCGUGUUGCCCGAACCUAUGUUGCCUCGGCGGGCCCCGCGCCCGCCGACGGCCCCCCUGAACGCUGUCUGAAGUUGCAGUCUGAGACCUAUAACGAAAUUAGUUAAAACUUUCAACAACGGAUCUCUUGGUUCCGGCAUCGAUGAAGAACGCAGCGAAAUGCGAUAACUAAUGUGAAUUGCAGAAUUCAGUGAAUCAUCGAGUCUUUGAACGCACAUUGCGCCCUCUGGUAUUCCGGAGGGCAUGCCUGUCCGAGCGUCAUUGCUGCCCUCAAGCCCGGCUUGUGUGUUGGGCCCCGUCCCCCCCGCCGGGGGGACGGGCCCGAAAGGCAGCGGCGGCACCGCGUCCGGUCCUCGAGCGUAUGGGGCUUCGUCACCCGCUCUAGUAGGCCCGGCCGGCGCCAGCCGACCCCCAACCUUUAAUUAUCUCAGGUUGACCUCGGAUCAGGUAGGGAUACCCGCUG